GCGGGUGUAGCUCAAUGGUAGAGCCCCUGCCUUCCAAGCAGGAUACGCGGGUUCGAUUCCCGCCACCCGCU
rnacentral:tRNA from 1 species